UGAGUUUUACUCAAGUUAGCGUGUUUCAAAGUUAAUUGUAAAAUUAUUUUGAAGAAUGAUAUGAGAAAUGUCAUUUCUAAUUCAUUUUCUAAACUGGUCAAUAUUAUUUUAUCUGCGGAAUUAUUUUCUUCUUCAAAAGGCUUUUAACUUUACCCUAAAAAGGUUCCCCCUGAUAUUUCUAAAAGAAUGAAAAAGUCAUGUUUUGUAUGAAUCAGAGUAUUCACAUUGCUAUGUCUACUAUUGUAGCAUAGUGUACGAGAAGAUACGACACUGUGAGAAUUGUAUUGUGAACCUAGAGGGGUACCUUGUCUGAGUGAUUUGGUUGAGGGGACAUUGUGUAUGGAGAUUGAUUUUUCAGGAAUAGGAUAGUUCCCUUGAGUCGAUAGAACUCUUUGCAGUAACUACAGUGACCUCUGACACCCCCUUGAAGGUAGCAUGCUCAGAAUGAUGCGAUAGUUAUCUUUGCCGACCGUUAGGUAUUCCAGCGCUAUUGAGUGCAUGAUAGUUAUAUGCUUUUUGGUUAUCAAUGGUGGGCACAAUGUUGUAUUCAUCUUGUUCGCUUCCUAAGAACAAUAUAGGACUGGUCGGGCUCGACCAAUGUCGAUAACAUUGUUGUUGAUUUGUUAGUUGGGGCCCAAUUAUGAGACAUUUCUCCAUGCACUCAUCUAGAGAUUCAUUAGUCUCGUCAAAAUAGAUAUUAUGUUCAUCAUAACAUCAUUAUCAUGCAUAUGAUUAGAAUGAUAUCUUCGUUAUUACAUGAAUUUAUUUAUAUGAUUUGUUUUUAUUGUAUGUUAUUUGUUUAUCAUAAUAUAGAGAUACGUACUCUCCAGUUUAAUAUUACAGGUAGUGAUGGGUUCCAAUGCUCCUUUCUGACUCCAUUGUGUGUGAUAGAGAUCAUACCACUCCCUUUAGGAGAGGUUGAGGUGGAAUGGUAUUGAGCGGUGUAUCGGGGAGAUCUAGAGAUUUGAAGUACUUAUUCAGACCUGUAUUGAGCACCACUCCCCCAUCGCUCUACUGUGCCAGCGGUAUAUCUCAUGCAUAUUCCAGAUGGCUAUGAGUUACGACCGGUACCUCCUCCUACUCCUGCAAAGUAUAUUUCUCCACCUACAACUCCUCUUGGUUUUUCUUUUGGUUCCUCCCGUUAUGAUAGUUGUAGGCUGACCCAUCACAUGACAUACCGAGUUCUUCGGUGAGACGUCCUACGCAGAGACCACCUAUAGUCCAGGCUAGUCGUCCUCAGACGACUCGGGGAACCAAGACAUGUCUGUGCUAUUGGUGUACUUCUCCAGCGGAGAGCUACACUCGUUCAUCCAUUCAUGUUGUGAGAGGGAUUCCGGAGUACACUCUAGGGUCUCCUUUUCAUAGGGCAUAUGGACAAGGUUAGGGUAACGAGGCUGAUACUUGUGGCCCAGGAACAUGACCCGAUUAUCUUCUUCCCUGGUGGAUUCUCAUGCACUUGUCGAGCCUACUGUCAGAUAUGGCAUCAUAUCUAUUUCCAGUGACGAGGAUGUUCCAGAGGAGUACCCUGAGGAGGGUAGUGAGGGAGGGAACUAGUAUGGGGAAGUUGGGUCAAGACUUUGGUAGUUUGGUUAUGUAUGACAUAUUCGUAUUAUUAUUUUUGGAAGUUGUAGUUCCAGUGUACAGUACAUCUAGUCUCAUGGUCUUCUUUUUGGUAUAUAUAUCUACCCUAACUUUGUUGGAGUGUACGUGAGGAUGGUGUGAUCAGAGACUAUGUAUUCUAUAUGGGAGUGUGAUAUUUUGAAACCUAUUUAUAUGUAUGUAUAUAGAUAGGGUAUUAAGAGAGUACUCUAAUGCCUAUGGUUAUGGUGAUGCUAUAUGGAAAAAAAAUUCUAUACUUCUUUUACUGUUAAUUAUAUAGUAUGAUACAUAAGUAAGUCUUGAGAUAAACAUUAUGUUUCUUUAUAAGAAGAAAAAAAAUAUAUGAUAUUUUUCUAACAUAAGUUGUAAUUAACCAAGAACGUAUAUGACUGUCUUGUAUGUACUUUUGUUUUAACGCUAGGAAAUGAGUAUUACACGUUCCAAAAACAUAUAAUUACAAAUGAAUAGUUUUUUUAUCCAAAAUAUGCAAAAACGGGAUUUGAGCGAUGGAAGAUUGAAGUUGAGUGAUUGAUGUUGGAUUUGAG
rnacentral:lncRNA from 1 species